UUGUUUCCAAUGAUGGGACGUCCGAUUCGGCGAUCGGUUUCGUUAAACAUGAUCUACACUAUUGGAACUAUCUAGAAACCAAAUUUCAUAAUUUUUUGACUUCGUUUGCUUAGUGAACGAGUAGCCUCAAAAUGAACGGCUGAAAAUAAAAAUCUCAUAAAAAACAGAGACAAAUGACUCAAAUUUCAAAUCGGAAGUAUUGUUCUUACUCUUGAUGUUAAGUAGAAUUUUCUAUUAAAGUUUCAUAUAAUUUGGAUACUUCUAUACCGUUGAACUUAAAAACGUGCCACAUCGACCGUUAAAAUAGUCAUUUUUGAGACCCUGUGAUCGCUUGGUAAAUGAUGUCGAAAAAUUAUAAAAUUUGGUUUCAAGAUAGUUCCAAUAGUAUAGAUUAUGCCUAACGGAGCCGAUCGUCGAAUUUGAUGUCCUAUCAUCGAAAACAACUUACAAGUACGGAGGCCUCCGUACUUUCGAAAGUACGGGAGACGUACUAUAUAU
rnacentral:lncRNA from 1 species